GAUGAACGCUGGCGGCGUGCCUAAUACAUGCAAGUCGAGCGAACAGAUGAGGAGCUUGCUCCUCUGACGUUAGCGGCGGACGGGUGAGUAACACGUGGAUAACCUACCUAUAAGACUGGGAUAACUUCGGGAAACCGGAGCUAAUACCGGAUAAUAUAUUGAACCGCAUGGUUCAAUAGUGAAAGACGGUUUUGCUGUCACUUAUAGAUGGAUCCGCGCCGCAUUAGCUAGUUGGUAAGGUAACGGCUUACCAAGGCAACGAUGCGUAGCCGACCUGAGGGGGUGAUCGGCCACACUGGAACUGAGACACGGUCCAGACUCCUACGGGAGGCAGCAGUAGGGAAUCUUCCGCAAUGGGCGAAAGCCUGACGGAGCAACGCCGCGUGAGUGAUGAAGGUCUUCGGACCGUAAAACUCUGUUAUUAGGGAAGAACAAAUGUGUAAGUAACUAUGCACGUCUUGACGGUACCUAAUCAGAAAGCCACGGCUAACUACGUG
rnacentral:rRNA from 1 species